UGGUAUUCGGAGGGAGGUUGUCCGUGGUGAGUUCGCAUUGCUUAAUGAUGCCCAAUACACGGUCGACCUCUCUUCGGUAUCA
rnacentral:pre_miRNA from 1 species